AAGUCGUAACAAGGUUUCCGUAGGUGAACCUGCGGAAGGAUCAUUACAAAUCGCGUCACCACCAUGUGUGUGUGUGAUUGCAUCUUAUUGACCCUGUUGAAUUGUGCGAGUGGGGGCGAAUGGCCAGCCAAUCACCCACCAUACAGACAACAUUCAAUGUAUUAUUCAUAUAUUGCAUUGGAUGGAUGUGUGUGUGUGUGAUUGGGCGAUUCGCCCCCUCUUUCCUUUAAUGGACUCUGAAUGGACAAGAGAGAGGUGCGCACACACAACAUAUACACAUACAUAUAUACCCUAUAUGUGUAUGUAUGUGUGGUAUGCGCCCCCUCGUCAUUAUCAUUGAUAACCAAUGAGCAACUUUUAACAAUGGAUCUCUUGGCUCUU
rnacentral:misc_RNA from 1 species